CCCGCUGAACUUAAGCAUAUCAAUAAGCGGAGGAAAAGAAACUAACAAGGAUUCCCCUAGUAACUGCGAGUGAAGCGGGAAAAGCUCAAAUUUAAAAUCUGGCAGUCUCUGGCUGUCCGAGUUGUAAUCUAGAGAAGCAUUAUCCGCGCUGGACCGUGUACAAGUCUCCUGGAAUGGAGCGUCAUAGAGGGUGAGAAUCCCGUCUUUGGCAUGGACCCCCAGGGCUUCUGUGAUGCGCUCUCAAAGAGUCGAGUUGUUUGGGAAUGCAGCUCAAAAUGGGUGGUGAACUCCAUCUAAAGCUAAAUAUUGGCGAGAGACCGAUAGCGAACAAGUACCGUGAGGGAAAGAUGAAAAGCACUUUGGAAAGAGAGUGAAACAGUACGUGAAAUUGUUGAAAGGGAAGCGCUUGCGACCAGACUUGCCCUCAGUUGAUCAACCGGUGUUCCUCACCGGUGCACUCGGCCGAGGUCAGGCCAGCAUCGGUUUGGGCGGUUGGAGAAAGACCUUUGGGAAUGUGGCUCCCCUCGGGGAGUGUUAUAGCCCAUGGUGUCAUGCGACCAGCCUGGACCGAGGACCGCGCCCUUGUGGCUAGGAUGCUGGCGUAAUGGUCGUAAGCGACCCGUCUUGAAACACGG
rnacentral:rRNA from 1 species